UGGUUUUUUAGUUAUGGUUAAUACUGGACAAGUCUACACUUAAGAAUGGUAAGUUCUGAUAAUGGAUGAUGCCGUAGCUUAUUGCUUAUCUGGAUUGGUAUUAGUUGCCUUUCAGAACUGGGAUUUCCUUAGUAACCUAUUUUUCCAUCCCUUACCCUGUGAAGGUUGUAUGCUUUUGAUGUAAACGGCAACUCUUUCUUCCCCAUGUUUGCGCUGCUUUAUGGUUAGUACAAAGUCAAAAUGCAUUCCUUAUUGAAUAAGCUUUUUCAUAAUACACACUGAACUUCUAUUCACAUUGUUUUUCUUAGAGACAGCUGUACAUUAUUUUCCGUCGCCUCUUCUGGUAAGCUCAUGGUUUUGUUCCUGUUUUGCUGUCAAAUUUGCAUUUCCUACUAUCAUUACCUCAAUUUUCUAGGCUAUGAUGGUAAUACGAGUUUUACUGGAAAUAGUGUCUUUUUUUCUUAUUCAAAGCCAUUCUAAGGAAUUUUACAUAGAAAAUUGAGAAACAUAUGAAAGUGGCUUGUGUUUAAAAGAAAACUCUUAUUGUCAAAAUUUACUGAUUUUCUCGUCCGCUAUGCAGUAUUGCCACUAUUGGAGAGAACAACAUUUUUUCUGUAUCCAAUUUGUUUUGUCAUUGUCAUAUCUCCUAUCUGUAAGUAUUUACUAUACCUGUUUGUUAUGCAACAUUUAUUGCCAUAUAGAUGAAUAUUUAUAUCUUACAGUGAUUUUGAGCAGCUGCAACCCAUCAAGAUACCUUAUGAACAUGUACUUCAGUCGAUUGCUAUAGAUGCUGCUAACAGGCACUUUAGAUGACGUAUAUGAUGAUCGAAGGAAAUUCCUCAAAAUACUCUAAAGAACACAAGACAGUUAAUGUAUUCAUUUACGCGUGAGGAAGACGACCGGCGUGACCCAGGAAAGAUUCAGUCAGUCCAGUGGGGCCUUUCUUUAUUUGACCGAAAAUGAGUUAGUUUUGCCGUACUGAGAAAUUAGAUUAGUGAAAUCGUUACAUAUGGGUUUUGCGUCUUAUUUCCGUCAUCUGCUUGAGACAAUUAUUUGUGACACCUUAUGAUGGGAAGUAGUGAAUUCCCUUGCAAUGCUGCUGUUUUAAGCAAUGUUGAUAAUAUAGGAUACUUGUCAAACAACAGAAAUUUCUCUUUUGUUCCCCAAAAUUUUUUCUUUUGUGAAUUUUCAUUUUUAC
rnacentral:lncRNA from 1 species